CUAACAGGAUUCCCCUAGUAACUGCGAGUGAAGCGGGAAAAGCUCAAAUUUAAAAUCUGAUGGCUCCCUUGGUCAUCCGAGUUGUAAUUUAGAGAAGCGUUUUCCGCGCUGGACCGUGCACAAGUCUCCUGGAAUGGAGCGUCAUAGAGGGUGAGAAUCCCGUCUUUGGCACGCAUGCACCAGGGCUUAUGUGAUGCGCUCUCGAAGAGUCGAGUUGUUUGGGAAUGCAGCUCAAAAUGGGUGGUGAACUCCAUCUAAAGCUAAAUAUUGGCGAGAGACCGAUAGCGAACAAGUACCGUGAGGGAAAGAUGAAAAGCACUUUGGAAAGAGAGUGAAACAGUACGUGAAAUUGUUGAAAGGGAAACGCUUAAAGUCAGUCGCGUCGACCGAGACUCAGCCUUGCCUCGGCUUGGUGUACUUCUCGGCUUGACGGGUCAGCAUCAAUUUUGCCCCUCGGAUAAUGGCAAGGGAAAGGUGGCACCUUUAUGGGUGUGUUAUAGUCUCUUGUCGCAUGCGAGGGUCGGGAUUGAGGAACUCAGCACGCGCCUCGGUGUCGGGGCCUUUUUGGCUCACGCUACGUGCUUAGGAUGUUGGCGUAAUGGCUUUAAACGACCCGU
rnacentral:rRNA from 1 species